UACGAAGGGGGCUAGCGUUGCUCGGAAUCACUGGGCGUAAAGCGCACGUAGGCGGACUCUUAAGUCGGUGGUGAAAUCCUGGAGCUCAACUCCAGAACUGCCUUCGAUACUGAGAGUCUCGAGUCCGAGAGAGGUGAGUGGAACUGCGAGUGUAGAGGUGAAAUUCGUAGAUAUUCGCAAGAACACCAGUGGCGAAGGCGGCUCACUGGCCCCGAUACUGACGCUGAGGCACGAAAGCGUGGGGAGCGAACGAGGAUUGAGAUACCCCCAGUAG
rnacentral:rRNA from 1 species